GCCCGCGUAGCUCAGUGGAUUAGAGUAGAAGGUUUCUACCCUUUUGGUCGUAGGUUCGAGUCCUACCGCGGGUACCA
rnacentral:tRNA from 1 species